rnacentral:tRNA from 1 species
GGGAAUGUGGCUUAGUGGUAGAGUGCUUGCCUGGCAGGCAUGAAGCCCUGGGUUCAAUUCCUCAGUACCA